CCUUACAGGCACGAACACCGAAUGCUUCCUCUUUCGUUCGAAGUGUGUCAAGCGGUUCAGGCGUAGUUUCGUCGAGUUGCUGUUUUCACAAUGAGAGCUAAGUGGCGUAAGAAGCGUAUGCGGAGGUUGAAGCGUAAACGCAGGAAGAUGCGUGCGAGGUCCAAGUAGAUCGCUGGAAUCUAUUACCUGCCUGCCUAUUCCACACGGUUAGGUUUAAGUUACAAAACGGCCACAAUCUUCAGUCGUUCGCCUAAGCAUUCGGUAGAUUCCGAAAAACCGAGCAACUGUUCUGGAAAGAUAGCUCCGGCUGGGAGAAAAUUGCUGAUGCCUUCGUAGUGAUCAAAUUCCAUUUGGAAGAAAAGUGGUUUUACUGCUGUGUUAAGGACAUCGUGAAUAAAAAGGUCCCCUUCGAUUGUCAUUCAGUGCUUAGACGUCGAUGAAAAGAUAAAU